rnacentral:rRNA from 1 species
UUUAAAGAGAGUUUGAUCCUGGCUCAGGACGAACGCUGGCGGCGUGCCUAAUACAUGCAAGUCGAACGAACGGAGGAAGAGCUUGCUCUUCCAAAGUUAGUGGCGGACGGGUGAGUAACACGUGGGCAACCUGCCUGUAAGUUGGGGAUAACUCCGGGAAACCGGGGCUA